rnacentral:rRNA from 1 species
GACGAACGCUGGCGGCGUGCUUAACACAUGCAAGUCGAACGGAAAGGCCCUGCUUUUGUGGGGUGCUCGAGUGGCGAACGGGUGAGUAACACGUGAGUAACCUGCCCUUGACUUUGGGAUAACUUCAGGAAACUGGGGCUAAUACCGGAUAGGAGCUCCUGCUGCAUGGUGGGGGUUGGAAAGUUUCGGCGGUUGGGGAUGGACUCGCGGCUUAUCAGCUUGUUGGUGGGGUAGGGGCUUACCAAGGCUUUGACGGGUAGCCGGCCUGAGAGGGGGACCGGCCACAAUGGGACUGAGAGACGGCCCAGACUCGUACGGGACGCAACAGUGGGGAAUAUUGCACAAUGGGCGGAAGCCUGAUGCAGCAACGCCGCGUGCGUGAUGACGGGCUUCGGGUUGUAAACCGCUUUCGCCUGUGACGAAGCGUGAGUGACGGUAAUGGGUAAAGAAGCACCGGCUAACUACGUG